ensembl:lncRNA
GCAGAGAGAAGAGGAGGAGGGACUGGCAGAAAGAAGAUGAGGAGGGACUGGCAGAAAGAAGGGGAGGAGGAGUGGCAGAGAGAUAAGGAGGAGGGACUGGCAGAGAGAAGAUGAGGAGGGACUGGCAGAAAGAAGGGGAGGAGGAGUGGCAGAGAGAAGAUGAGGAGGGACUGGCAGAGAGAAGAGUAGGGGGGGCUAGCAGAGAGAAGAUGAGGAGGGGCUAGCAGAAAGAAGGGGAGGAGGAGUGGCAGAGAGAAGAUGAGGAGGGACUGGCAGAAAGAAGAGGAGGAGGGACUGGCAAGGAGAAGAGUAGGAGGGGCUAGCAGAGAGAAGAUGAGGAGGGACUGGCAGAAAGAAGGGGAGGAGGAGUGGCAGAGAGAAGAUUAGGAGGGACUGGCAGAAAGAAGAGGAGGAGGGACUGGCAGAAAGAAGAGUAGGAGGAAUGGCAGAAACAAGGGGAGGAGGAGUGGCAGAGAGAAGAUGAGGAGGGACUGGCAGAAAGAAGAGGAGGAGGGACUGGCAGAGAGAAGAGUAGGAGGGACUGGCAGAAAGAAGGGGAGGAGGAGUGGCAGAGAGAAGAGGAGGAGGGACUGGCAGAAAGAAGAUGAGGAGGAGGGGCAGAGAGAAGAUGAGGAGGGGAUAGCAGAGAGAAGAUUAGGAGGGACUAGCAGAAAGAAGGGGAGGAGGAGUGGCAGAGAGAGGAUGAGGAGGGACUGGCAGAAAGAAGAGGAGGAGGGACUGGCAGAAAGAAGAUGAGGAGGGACUGGCAGAAAGAAGAGGGGGACUGGCAGAAAGAAGAUGAGGAGGGACUGGCAGAAAGAAGGGGAGGAGGAGUGGUAGAGAGAAGAUGAGGAGGG